UCCCUUCUGUUCUUGAAUUUGGAAAAUAUGGCAAACUGGGUCUACUUUCCCGAGCAUGAUAACCAGCUGAAGCUUGAGUAGUGGCUACCCUCUGUAGACAGAGCACACACGGUACUUCCCUCAUCCUCCUCCCACUUCUGUCUCCCUCAGCAGCCUCUCACAUUGCUGCUGUCUGCCUGGCCCAUAGGCUUCUGAGUUAUGACACUGGUGUGAAGAGAAAAGGCUUAAAGCACAUUUUGGCACUGUUAGGAUUUGGGAUUUCUGGGUGGUGACAAUUCUUGUUCAUUAGUUACUGAUUUUCCCGCAGCACCUGUGGCCUUGCCGAAGAACUGGAAAAAGAUAAGUCAAGGGAACAGAUGAGCUCCCAACCCAAGUCAGCUUGUGGAAACUGCUACCUGGGCGAUGCCUUCCGCUGUGCCAGCUGCCCCUACCUUGGGAUGCCAGCCUUCAAACCUGGGGAAAAGGUGCUUCUGAGUGAUAGCAAUCUUCAUGA
rnacentral:sRNA from 1 species